AACGAACGCUGGCGGCGCGCCUAAUACAUGCAAGUCGAGCGAGAAGACGUAGCAAUACGUUUGUAAAGCGGCGAACGGGUGAGGAAUACAUGGGUAACCUACCCUCGAGUGGGGAAUAACUAGCCGAAAGGUUAGCUAAUACCGCGUACGCUCCUUGGACUUCGGUUCAGGGAGGAAAGCGAUACCGUGGGUAUCGCGCUCUUGGAUGGGCUCAUGUCCUAUCAGCUUGUUGGUGAGGAACGGCUCACCAAGGCUUCGACGGGUAGCUGGUCUGAGAGGACGAUCAGCCACACUGGCACUGCGACACGGGCCAGACUCCUACGGGAGGCAGCAGUAAGGAAUAUUGCGCAAUGGGCGAAAGCCUGACGCAGCGACGCCGCGUGGGGGAUGAAGGUCUUCGGAUUGUAAACCCCUUUCGGGAGGGAAGAUGGAACGAGCAAUCGUUCGGACGGUACCUCCAGAAGCAG
rnacentral:rRNA from 1 species